AGCGUAGACGGUGUGGCAAGUCUGAUGCGAAAGGCAUGGGCUCAACCUGUGGACUGCAUUGGAAACUGUCAUACUUGAGUGCCGGAGGGGUAAGCGGAAUUCCUAGUGUAGCGGUGAAAUGCGUAGAUAUUAGGAGGAACACCAGUGGCGAAGGCGGCUUACUGGACGGUAACUGACGUUGAGGCUCGAAAGCGUGGGAGCAAACA
rnacentral:rRNA from 1 species